rnacentral:rRNA from 1 species
CCAGACUCCUACGGGAGGCAGCAGUGGGGAAUAUUGCACAAUGGGGGAAACCCUGAUGCAGCAACGCCGCGUGAGUGAAGAAGUAUUUCGGUAUGUAAGGCUCUAUCAGCAGGGAAGAAAAUGACAGUACCUGACUAAGAAGCCCCGGCUAACUACGUGCCAGCAGCCGCGGUAAUACGUAGGGGGCAAGCGUUAUCCGGAUUUACUGGGUGUAAAGGGAGCGUAGACGGAAAGGCAAGUCAGAAGUGAAAACCCAAGGCUCAACCAUGGGACUGCUUUUGAAACUGUCAAACUAGAGUACGGGAGAGGUAAGAGGAAUUCCUAGUGUAGCGGUGAAAUGCGUAGAUAUUAGGAGGACCACCAGUGGCGAAGGCGGCUUACUGGACUGUAACUGACGUUGAGGCUCGAAAGCGUGGGGAGCAAACAGGAUUAGAUACCCUAGUACC